rfam:Aspergillus kawachii IFO 4308 mitochondrial DNA, complete sequence.
UGCGGGUUGAUGUAAUAGUAACAUAUAGGGCUCAUGACCCUAAGUUUUAGGUGCAACUCCUAAAUCCGCAA